AGAGUUUGAUCCUGGCUCAGAUUGAACGCUGGCGGCAUGCCUAACACAUGCAAGUCGAACGGUAACAGGAGAGAGCUUGCUCUCUUGCUGACGAGUGGCGGACGGGUGAGUAAUGCAUAGGAAUCUGCCCAGUAGUGGGGGACAACUCGGGGAAACUCGAGCUAAUACCGCAUACGCCCUACGGGGGAAAGCGGGGGAUCUUCGGACCUCGCGCUAUUGGAUGAGCCUAUGUCAGAUUAGCUUGUUGGUAGGGUAAUGGCCUACCAAGGCAACGAUCUGUAGCUGGUCUGAGAGGACGAUCAGCCACACUGGGACUGAGACACGGCCCAGACUCCUACGGGAGGCAGCAGUGGGGAAUAUUGGACAAUGGGGGCAACCCUGAUCCAGCAAUGCCGCGUGUGUGAAGAAGGCCUGCGGGUUGUAAAGCACUUUCAAUUGUGAAGAAGUUGAUAAGUUUAAUACGCUUGUCAAUUGACGUUAACUUUAGAAGAAGCACCGGCUAACUCUGUGCCAGCAGCCGCGGUAAUACAGAGGGUGCGAGCGUUAAUCGGAAUUACUGGGCGUAAAGCGCGCGUAGGCGGUUAGAUAAGUCAGAUGUGAAAUCCCCGGGCUCAACCUGGGAACUGCAUCUGAUACUGUUUGACUAGAGUUUGGGAGAGGGAAGUAGAAUUUCAGGUGUAGCGGUGAAAUGCAUAGAGAUCUGAAGGAAUACCAGUGGCGAAGGCGACUUCCUGGCCUAAAACUGACGCUGAGGUGCGAAAGCGUGGGUAGCAAACGGGAUUAGAUACCCCGGUAGUCCACGCCGUAAACGAUGUCAACUAGUCGUUGGACCCCUUGAGGGUUUAGUGACGCAGCUAACGCAUUAAGUUGACCGCCUGGGGAGUACGGUCGCAAGACUAAAACUCAAAGGAAUUGACGGGGGCCCGCACAAGCGGUGGAGCAUGUGGUUUAAUUCGAUGCAACGCGAAGAACCUUACCAUCCCUUGACAUCCUCAGAACUUGUAAGAAAUUACUUGGUGCCUUCGGGAACUGAGUGACAGGUGCUGCACGGCUGUCGUCAGCUCGUGUCGUGAGAUGUUGGGUUAAGUCCCGCAACGAGCGCAACCCUCGUGACUAGUUACUAACGGUUCGGCCGAGGACUCUAGUCAGACUGCCUUCGUAAGGAGGAGGAAGGUGAGGACGACGUCAAGUCAUCAUGGCCCUUACGGCUAGGGCAACACACGUGCUACAAUGGCCAGGACAAUGAGACGCGAUACCGCGAGGUGGAGCAAAUCUAUAAACCUGGUCUCAGUUCGGAUUGUAGUCUGCAACUCGACUACAUGAAGCUGGAAUCACUAGUAAUCGUAGAUCAGCUAUGCUACGGUGAAUACGUUCCCGGGUCUUGUACUCACCGCCCGUCACACCAUGGGAGUUGAUUUCACCUGAAGCGGGGAAGCUAAACUGGCUACCCUCCACGGUGGAAUCAGCGACUGGGGUGAAGUCGUAACAAGGUAACCA
rnacentral:rRNA from 1 species